rnacentral:lncRNA from 1 species
CUUCUUCUGACCCUUCUUGUAGGUGUCAUCCCCCCCCAAAAGGGAGCACCUGAGAAUCCCUGAAGCCUCUGACCAAUACAGAAAAUGUUAUGCUGAGGGACAGAGCCAGUAGUUUCAACCAUAGCAGCAGCAGAAGCAAAAGAGAGAACCAGAUUUUGACCGGUCAGAGAGGUGAAGCAUCACCACUGUACAAAUAGGAUCCUCCAGGUUUUUCAAAAGAAGGGGAGGAACAGUUGUAUGUCAGCAGACUGAAGAGGUAUUUGGCAGAGUUUGAAUCAGCUCUAAAGUUGAGCAGUAGCCAAGAGCCGUCCUUCCAGCCCCACACUGUGCAGACCUGGGAGAAAGGAGGAAGUGGUCCUCAUCCUAAGGAAUUUAAACUGUGAGAAAAGUGGUGAUGAGAUACAAGUCAUGCUAAUUUCAAGUGUUAAUGAAGCAGAAUCCAUCCCGAUGUGAAGCAACCCGAGGAUGCUCUGUGACACAGCCAUAAUGGGACCAGACAUUAUGGUCUAUUGUGUUAAUAAUCUGUGAAUUAAAGCAUCCCCCAGCAAGCUGUUAAUGUGAUGGAUUGUAUCAGUGAUGUGCUGUUAAAGGGUCCCCAGUCAACCUUGACACAACAGGCCAGAGCGGUUUGGAAGGCCUGGCAGCUCCAUCAGACAGUUGGGCCGUGCCUGGUGCACAAGAUAAACCUGAUAGGAGAUCACGGGGAGCUUCAGAGGAGGCUGAGGAUGCUCAUCACAUUGCCAGGGAUGGGCCUGAGAGACCAAAAUGCUCAGAAUCCUCUUGACGAAGAAAAGCAGAAGUCUCAGCAUUAAAAAUAGAUGCUUUUUAUCUUGCAUAGGAUACAAAAUCUCUUCUGAUAGGACAUUUUUUUAUGAUAUU